UACAGAGGUCUCAAGCGUUGUUCGGAUUCAUUGGGCGUAAAGGGUGCGUAGGUGGCGCCGUAAGUCAGGUGUGAAAUUUCGGAGCUUAACUCCGAAACUGCAUUUGAUACUGCGGUGCUUGGGGACUGGAGAGGAGACUGGAAUUUACGGUGUAGCAGUGAAAUGCGUAGAGAUCGUAAGGAAGACCAGUGGCGAAGGCGGGUCUCUGGACAGUUCCUGGCACUGAGGCACGAAGGCCAGGGGAGCAAACGGG
rnacentral:rRNA from 1 species